rnacentral:rRNA from 1 species
CCUACGGGGGGCAGCAGUGGGGAAUAUUGCACAAUGGGGGAAACCCUGAUGCAGCGACGCCGCGUGAGUGAUGAAGCGCCUCGGCGUGUAAAGCUCUGUCAGUAGGGACGAUAAUGACGGUACCUGAAGAAGAAGCCCCGGCUAACUACGUGCCAGCAGCCGCGGUAAUACGUAGGGGGCCAGCGUUAUCCGGAUUUACUGGGUGUAAAGGGAGCGUAGACGGCGGGGCAAGGCUGGAGUGAAAGGCCGGGGCCCAACCUCGGGACCGCUGUGGAAACUGGCCGGCUGGAGUGCGGGGGAGGUAGGCGGAAUUCCUGGUGUAGCGGUGAAAUGCGGAGAUAUUAGGAGGAACACCGGCGGCGAAGGCGGCUUACUGGACCGUGACUGACGUUGAGGCUCGAAAGCGUGGGGAGCGAACAGGAUUAGAUACCCGAGUAGUC